rnacentral:rRNA from 1 species
UGGGGAAUUUUGGACAAUGGGCGAAAGCCUGAUCCAGCCAUGCCGCGUGCAGGAUGAAGGCCUUCGGGUUGUAAACUGCUUUUGUACGGGAAGAAACACUCCUACGUGUAGGAGCUUGACGGUACCGUAAGAAUAAGGAUCGGCUAACUCCGUGCCAGCAGCCGCGGUAAUACGUAGGGUGCGAGCGUUAUCCGGAUUUAUUGGGUUUAAAGGGUGCGUAGGCGGCUUAUUAAGUCAGGGGUGAAAGACGGUGGCUCAACCAUCGCAGUGCCCUUGAUACUGAUGAGCUUGAAUGGACUAGAGGUAGGCGGAAUGUGACAAGUAGCGGUGAAAUGCAUAGAUAUGUCACAGAACACCGAUUGCGAAGGCAGCUUACUAUGGUUUAAUUGACGCUGAGGCACGAAAGCGUGGGGAUCAAACA